CCUACGGGUGGCUGCAGUGGGGAAUAUUGGACAAUGGGGGGAACCCUGAUCCAGCCAUGCCGCGUGUGUGAAGAAGGCCCUCGGGUUGUAAAGCACUUUCAGUGAGGAAGAACGCCUGGUGGUUAAUACCCAUCAGGAAAGACAUCACUCACAGAAGAAGCACCGGCUAACUCCGUGCCAGCAGCCGCGGUAAUACGGAGGGUGCGAGCGUUAAUCGGAAUUACUGGGCGUAAAGCGCGCGUAGGUGGCUUGAUAAGCCGGUUGUGAAAGCCCCGGGCUCAACCUGGGAACGGCAUCCGGAACUGUCAAGCUAGAGUGCAGGAGAGGAAGGUAGAAUUCCCGGUGUAGCGGUGAAAUGCGUAGAGAUCGGGAGGAAUGCCAGUGGCGAAGGCGGCCUUCUGGACUGACACUGACACUGAGGUGCGAAAGCGUGGGUAGCAAACAGGAUUAGAUACCCGUGUAGUC
rnacentral:rRNA from 1 species